rnacentral:tRNA from 2 species
UUCGCCAAUGCGGUCGUCGGUGUGCCGAGCUGUGGUUGCCGGCUGCAGCCCACAGAUUGCAUCCGCGGUCUGCUGGGUGCGAUCUAGUGGCGAAGC